GAAGACACGAGGAGAUACUGUCUCAGAGAUCAGAGCUGCUACAGCAGAUGGAGACUUAUCUAAGAGACAAAAAGACUAAAAAGACAUGGCAAACUCAAGCAGCUGAUGCAGCUCAUAAAAGGAAUGCAGCACUUUUAAAUUAAUUAGGAAGAAGGAAUCAGAAAAGAGGAAAAUCCAGUGGAAGAAUAUGAGGAUAUAGAAGCAGCAGAAAAAAGGCUGCAAGAAAGAAUGUAUUUACUUCCACAUCCUGAUACUGUUAAGUUAGAAACUCUCUAUUGGGCAUCAAUAAAAGAAUCCCUUCCCAAAUGGGAAGAGUUUCUUUUAGGAAGAGCAGAAGUUCCUAUUGGCUUUAAGAAAAUGAAAGCUACAAAGCAGAGCAUAAACUACCCUGAAGAAGAUUCACAAAAAUAAACAUUUUAGUUUCA